GUGGGGAAUAUUGGACAAUGGGGGCAACCCUGAUCCAGCAAUGCCGCGUGUGUGAAGAAGGUCUUCGGAUCGUAAAGCACUUUCGACGGGGACGAUGAUGACGGUACCCGUAGAAGAAGCCCCGGCUAACUUCGUGCCAGCAGCCGCGGUAAUACGAAGGGGGCUAGCGUUGCUCGGAAUUACUGGGCGUAAAGGGCGCGUAGGCGGCUCUGUUAGUCAGGCGUGAAAUUCCUGGGCUUAACCUGGGGACUGCGCUUGAUACUGCGGAGCUUGAGGCCGAGAGAGGGUGGUGGAAUUCCCAGUGUAGAGGUGAAAUUCGUAGAUAUUGGGAAGAACACCGGUGGCGAAGGCGACCACCUGGCUCGGUACUGACGCUGAGGCGCGACAGCGUGGGGAGCAAACAGGAUUAGAAACCCGUGUAGUCC
rnacentral:rRNA from 1 species